rnacentral:rRNA from 1 species
UACGUAGGGUGCGAGCGUUGUCCGGAAUUAUUGGGCGUAAAGGGCUCGUAGGCGGUUUGUCGCGUCGGGAGUGAAAACCUCGGGCUUAACUCGGGGCUUGCUUUCGAUACGGGCAGACUGGAGGUAUGCAGGGGAGAACGGAAUUCCUGGUGUAGCGGUGAAAUGCGCAGAUAUCAGGAGGAACACCGGUGGCGAAGGCGGAUCUCUGGGCCAUUACUGACGCUGAGGAGCGAAAGCGUGGGGAGCGAACAGG